rnacentral:rRNA from 1 species
AGAGUUUGAUCAUGGCUCAGGACGAACGCUGGCGGCGUGCCUAAUACAUGCAAGUCGAGCGAAGUUAUGAAGGAGCUUGCUCCAGAUUAGCUUAGCGGCGGACGGGUGAGUAAUACGUAGGCAACCUGCCCCUCAGAUCGGGAUAACUCACGGAAACGUGUGCUAAGACCGGAUAGUCGACAUCCUCGCAUGAGGGAGUC